rnacentral:misc_RNA from 1 species
AAGUCGAAACAAGGUUUCCGUAGGUGAACCUGCGGAAGGAUCAUUAAAAGAGAUAGGGUCUCACGGCCCGACCUCCAACCCUUUGUUGUUUAAAAAACCUGUUGCUUUGGCGGGACCGUUCGACCUCGUGACGGACUGUCGGUCUUCGGCCCGGCAAGCGCCCGUCAGAGUCCAACCAAACUCUUGAUAUAACCAGUCGUCUGAGAAUAAAGAUUUAAUCAAUUAAAA